UGGGGAAUAUUGCACAAUGGAGGGAACUCUGAUGCAGCGACGCCGCGUGAACGAAGAAGGCUUUCGAGUCGUAAAGUUCUUUUAUAUGGGAAGAUAAUGACGGUACCAUAAGAAAAAGCCCCGGCUAACUACGUGCCAGCAGCCGCGGUAAUACGUAGGGGGCUAGCGUUGUCCGGAAUCACUGGGCGUAAAGGGUUCGCAGGCGGAAAUGCAAGUCAGAUUUAAAAGGCAGUAGCUUAACUACUGUAAGCAUUUGAAACUGCAUAUCUUGAGAAGAGUAGAGGUAAGUGGAAUUUUUAGUGUAGCGGUGAAAUACGUAAAUAUUAAAAAGAAUACCGGUGGCGAAGGCGACUUACUGGGCUCAUUCUGACGCUGAGGAACGAAAGCGUGGGUAGCAAACAGG
rnacentral:rRNA from 1 species